rnacentral:rRNA from 1 species
CGAGCGAACGGACGAGAAGCUUGCUUCUCCGAUGUUAGCGGCGGACGGGUGAGUAACACGUGGAUAACCUACCUAUAAGACUGGGAUAACUUCGGGAAACCGGAGCUAAUACCGGAUAAUAUUUUGAACCGCAUGGUUCAAAAGUGAAAGACGGUCUUGCUGUCACUUAUAGAUGGAUCCGCGCUGCAUUAGCUAGUUGGUAAGGUAACGGCUUACCAAGGCAACGAUGCAUAGCCGACCUGAGAGGGUGAUCGGCCACACUGGAACUGAGACACGGUCCAGACUCCUACGGGAGGCAGCAGUAGGGAAUCUUCCGCAAUGGGCGAAAGCCUGACGGAGCAACGCCGCGUGAGUGAUGAAGGUCUUCGGAUCGUAAAACUCUGUUAUUAGGGAAGAACAUAUGUGUAAGUAACUGUGCACAUCUUGACGGUACCUAAUCAGAAAGCCACGGCUAACUACGUGCCAGCAGCCGCGGUAAUACGUAGGUGGCAAGCGUUAUCCGGAAUUAUUGGGCGUAAAGCGCGCGUAGGCGGUUUUUUAAGUCUGAUGUGAAAGCCCACGGCUCAACCGUGGAGGGUCAUUGGAAACUGGAAAACUUGAGUGCAGAAGAGGAAAGUGGAAUUCCAUGUGUAGCGGUGAAAUGCGCAGAGAUAUGGAGGAACACCAGUGGCGAAGGCGACUUUCUGGUCUGUAACUGACGCUGAUGUGCGAAAGCGUGGGGAUCAAACA